AAUGAACGUUGGCGGCGUGGAUUAGGCAUGCAAGUCGAGCGAGAGCCGUAGCAAUACGGGGAAAGCGGCGAAAGGGAGAGGAAUACGUGGGUACCUACCCCUGGAUUCGGGAUAGUCGUGGGAAACUACGGAUAAUACCGAAUAACGUCUCCGGACCAAAGGUGAGAUUCCGUCCGGGGAGGGGCCCGCGUCCUAUUAGCUUGUUGGCGAGGUAACGGCUCACCAAGGCGAAGAUGGGUACGGGAUGUGAGAGCAUGAUCCCGCUCAUUGGGACUGAGACACUGCCCAGACACCUACGGGUGGCUGCAGUCGAGAAUCUUCGGCAAUGGGGGAAACCCUGACCGAGCGACGCCGCGUGCGGGAUGAAGGCCUUCGGGUUGUAAACCGCUGUCAGAGGGGAGGAAAUGCUGGUGGGUUCUCCCACCAGUUUGACCUAGCCUCAGAGGAAGGACGGGCUAAGUUCGUGCCAGCAGCCGCGGUAAGAC
rnacentral:rRNA from 1 species